rnacentral:rRNA from 1 species
ACGCUGGCGGCGUGCCUAAUACAUGCAAGUCGAGCGAACCACUUCGGUGGUGAGCGGCGAACGGGUGAGUAACACGUAGGUUAUCUGCCCAUCAGACGGGGACAACGAUUGGAAACGAUCGCUAAUACCGGAUAGGACGAAAGUUUAAAGGUGCUUCGGCACCACUGAUGGAUGAGCCUGCGGCGCAUUAGCUAGUUGGUAGGGUAAAGGCCUACCAAGGCGACGAUGCGUAGCCGACCUGAGAGGGUGAACGGCCACACUGGGACUGAGACACGGCCCAGACUCCUACGGGAGGCAGCAGUAGGGAAUCUUCGGCAAUGGGCGAAAGCCUGACCGAGCAACGCCGCGUGAAUGAUGAAGGCCUUCGGGUUGUAAAAUUCUGUUAUAAGGGAAGAAUGGCUCUAGUAGGAAAUGGCUAGAGUGUGACGGUACCUUAUGAGAAAGCCACGGCUAACUACGUGCCAGCAGCCGCGGUAAUACGUAGGUGGCGAGCGUUAUCCGGAAUUAUUGGGCGUAAAGAGCGCGCAGGUGGUUGAUUAAGUCUGAUGUGAAAGCCCACGGCUUAACCGUGGAGGGU